AUUUCCCAAUUCUAACAGCAUAAGAGAGGUAGUGACAAGAAAUAACAAUACAAGGCAGUUAAAAUGCUUUGUAAUUGGAAUGAUAGAAAUUUAAACACUUUUUAAAGUAUCAAUUGGAGGGCAAGUCUGGUGCCAGCAGCCGCGGUAAUUCCAGCUCCAAUAGCGUAUAUUAAAAUUGUUGCAGUUAAAAAGCUCGUAGUUGAAUUUCUGCUAAAAAUAACCGGUCUGCUUUUAAUAAAGGUGGUAUCUUGGUGUGUUUUUAGCAAUAAUGUCCUUUGAAAUGUUUUUUACUUCAUUGUAAUAAAUUAUAUUUAGGAUUUUUACUUUGAGAAAAUUAGAGUGUUUCUAGCAGGCUAAUGCUUUGAAUACUGCAGCAUGGAAUAAUAAAAUAGGAUUUUGGUUCUACAUUAUUGGUUUUAAGAGCUAAAUUAAUGAUUGAUAGGGACAGUUGGGGGCAUUUGUAUUUAACUGUCAGAGGUGAAAUUCUUAGAUUUGUUAAAGACAAACUACUGCGAAAGCAUUUGCCAAAGAUGUUUUCAUUAAUCAAGAACGAAAGUUAGGGGAUCGAAGACGAUCAGAUACCGUCGUAGUCUUAACUAUAAACUAUGCCGACUAGAGAUUGAAGGUCGUCUUUAUAAACGACUCCUCCACCACC
rnacentral:rRNA from 1 species